ACUCUAUUGAGGCCCCGUAAUCGGAAUGAGUACACUUUAAAUCCUUUAACAAGGAUCCAUUGGAGGGCAAGUCUGGUGCCAGCAGCCGCGGUAAUUCCAGCUCCAAUAGCGUAUAUUAAAGUUGUUGCGGUUAAAAAGCUCGUAGUUGGUUCUGCGUGCCGCGCUGUCGGUUCGCCGCCUGUCGGUGUAACUGGCAUGUCGCGGCAUGUCCUGUCGGUGGUGAACGGAGUCCACAAUGCUACAUAGGCUUUAUAGCCGAUGUUAGCAUCGUGUGUACUUCCGUUGGCCGAUCUCUCCUACUUCGGUGCUCUUAAACGAGUGUCGAGGUAGGCCGACACGUUCACUUUGAACAAAUUAGAGUGCUUAAAGCAGGCUGAAAUAUCUGCCUGAAUAGUGGUGCAUGGAAUGAUAAAACAGGACCUCGGUUCUAUUUUGUUGGUUUUAGGAAUAUGAGGUAAUGAUCAAUGUGGACUGGCGGGGGCAUUCGUAUUGCGACGUUAGAGGUGAAAUUCUUGGAUCGUCGCAAGACGCACUAGAGCGAAAGCAUUUGCCAAGUAUGUCUUAAUUGAUCAAGAACGAAAGUUAGAGGUUCGAAGGCGAUCAGAUACCGCCCUAGUUCUAACCAUAAACGAUGCCAGCCAGCGAUCCGCCGAUGUUCCUUUAAUGACUCGGCGGGGAGCUUCCACCCGGGAAACCAAAGCUUUUGGGUUCCGGGGGAAGUAUGGUUGCAAAGCUGAAACUUAAAGGAA
rnacentral:rRNA from 1 species